CUAUUUAGAUAUACAUUGAAAUAAAAUAUUUUCAUAAUUCAUAUUGUAUGUUAUAAUUAUUCUCUGUUACACACCUGAACAAAUAUUCUUAUAAAAAUAUGCAUUGUUUCAGGUAUUUUAUUCAUUGUAAAACUUUUUGUAAACAAAUGUUACAUAUUUACCUCUUGGUGAUAGUUGAACAUUUUUCAUGGAUGUUAAUAAACAAUUUAUUUUGGUAGUGAACACAAACAGGAUUGAUUGACAUAGAUAUGGUUUUAUUUGCAGUGUUCAUACAUAAACUUAGAAGAUCACAGACAUUCAUUGUCAUAGGAGUACAUAAUAUUGCCUAGUGAGGCCAAAGUAACACCUAAGUUCCUGCCUACAGAGAAAGUAUGUGAAAAAGUGGGUGAACUUUGUAACGGUCAUUCACAAAACAGGAAUGAAUCAAAAAAUAUGUACUUUCUUUGCAAAAGAAUGCAGAAAGACUCCUGAGACCACCUAAAAAAUUGCAAGAAAUCAA
rnacentral:lncRNA from 1 species